rnacentral:rRNA from 1 species
AUGCGAGCCACCACCAGCCGCCUUCAGCCACCAUUGCAAAGGACACAGCAGAGGCCUCCGGCCCACACCGAGCGCAACCCCCAUCGUUUGCAACCACCGGGAACUAGAUCGGGCCAGAUUCUGAUCUGCCCCCAAAUCCCCGCGCAGGCACACCCCUCCUUCGCGAAGCCCUCCAGGACGCCAGCCACCCGCGCCACACCGUCGCAGGAAACACAGACUGUCAGCGCCUCGCCAAGCCCCACGCCCCACGCACCGUCCUGGCGCAAGGGAGGCCGCCCCGCCACAACACCGCGGGGCGAGGAGGAGAAGUGUCCCGCCGACGUCGACGUCGGCCGAGCAUAA